rnacentral:rRNA from 1 species
UACGAGGGGUGCAAGCGUUAUUCGGAAUCAUUGGGCGUAAAGGGUGCGUAGACGGUCUAUUAAGUCUGUUGUUUAAUACUCCAGCUUAACUGGAGAAAGGCAGUAGAAACUGGUAGGCUAGAGGGUGAGAGAGAGAAGUGGAAUUUCUGGAGUAGCGAAUCAAAUGCGUAGAUCUCAGAAAGGAACACCGAUGGAGCGAAGGCAGCUUCUUGGCUCAUACCUGACGUUUGAUGCACGAAAGCGUGGGGAGCAAACAGG